rnacentral:rRNA from 1 species
GAUGAACGCUGGCGGCGUGCCUAACACAUGCAAGUCGAACGAAGCUACAUUUUACGAUCCCUUCGGGGUGACAAGUUGUAGACUGAGUGGCGGACGGGUGAGUAACGCGUGGGCAACCUGCCCUAUACCGGGGGAUAGCAGCUGGAAACGGCUGAUAAUACCGCAUAAGCGCACAGAGAGACAUCUCUUAGUGUGAAAAACUCCGGUGGUAUAGGAUGGACCCGCGUCUGAUUAGCCAGUUGGUGAGGUAAAGGCUCACCAAAGCGAAGAUCAGUAGCCGACCUGAGAGGGUGACCGGCCACAUUGGGACUGAGACACGGCCCAAACUCCUACGGGAGGCAGCAGUGGGGAAUAUUGCACAAUGGGCGAAAGCCUGAUGCAGCGACGCCGCGUGAGUGAUGAAGUAUUUCGGUAUGUAAAGCUCUAUCAGCAGGGAAGAUAAUGACGGUACCUGACUAAGAAGCUCCGGCUAAAUACGUG